AGAAGGGAGAGAAAUGGAGGGAAGUGAGACAUGACUAAGAUGUAGGUAAAAAGGAAUAAAGGUUUUCCCUGCUCAAAACUCUCAUGAAGAAAUUAAUGGAGAAGGAAAGCACAAAGCAUGCUUGAAAGAAAGCAACUAUCCAGGCUCUCUGGAAAAUAUUGCCAUGUCCAUAGGGAUAUAUAUGCCCAGUGAUAAAUCUCUAAAGAAGACACGAAGAAAUAAGAGAAGGGCAAGAUGAGAGACAAGACACCAACUCCCAAAGAAAAUUGCCGAGUUUCUCAACCCUUCAAGGGCCAUUUGAGAGCAACUUGGUGUUGUGCAAGUCACUGUAUGCAGUAUGCAGAGCAGACAGAAUUUGCUGCGGGAUAUGAAGCUCACCAAGCGACCAAGGGAUCUAACUGGAACCGGCAGAGAAGAGCCCUUUAGAAGUAGAAGUGAGAGAAUGUUCCUAACUGAUUCACAGACACAGCACUUCCCAGCACUCCCGGUGAGAGCCAGAAAACCCGGGGGUCCAAACCUAAAAGACAGGGGACAUCAACAAGGCUGAGAUGAUCCAUUUUGCCCAAAGAUUUGUAAUCUCUUUAUGUGGGCUACCCAUACAAUGUCUGAAACGUGUUUUAUGGCAUUCUGUCAAAUUCUUUGUUGUACGAUUGCUGGGUUUUCAGAUACCCUCAAGAGUCCUGAGAAAGGUGAACAGGCCACCUGGCAAUGCUCUGCAAAACUAAUUAGUGAGGGGAAGUAUUGAAAAAUCACUCAGAUGGCAGUGUGGCAAUUACAAACCAUUGAAAGUGUGAGGCAGAUGGUGAAGUUCUUAUGUUGUCUUACUUAUCGGUUCAACAAAAUCAUACCAAUUGCCCACCAUGUGCACAGCACAACUAAUAAUGAAAUAAUUAUUUCAUUAUUAAUGAAAAUGAAAUAAUGAAAUAAUUCAUUAUUUGAAUUAUUGAAAAGGCAGGUAUGCAAUAAUGAAUAAUGAAAAGGCAGGUAUGCAAAUUCAUAAAAUGCAAUACAGGAAGUCUGAUUUUACUGGACAAACACUAUCAGCAUGAGCAAUUCACGAGUGUGACACUGCCAUCUUAGCCAUCUAAUCUUCCACCACUGCUCAGCAUUUUCUCACUUCUGGACAUUCCUCAAACCCUUCCUCUACCCGAAUAUUCUACCAGGUCCUUGGCUUCCUCUCCCCAUGGGGGUGAAAUCAUGUGCAUGCUGCUUGACACAUAAACACAUCUGGCCACAUUACUUCCAUGCACAUUGCUGUGGAUUCAUGCACCACACUGCAUCAUCUUUGUCUUCCUAUAUCCCCCAGCAGUUCAUAGAGAAAAACGUGGCCAGGACCAUGUCUUACUCUUCUUUAUACAUUGAAUGUUUGACAAUGUCUGACACAUUGCAGGCAUAAUAGGAUCAAAUCCCACUAUCAAAGCCAAAUGAGGUGUGCCUGAUUACCCCUUAAUCUUGAGGAUUCCUUUCCUCUUCUCCCACACCACUCUUGAUAUAUCUAAGGACUGCUCUCAAACACUGCAUGUAUGGUAGUUACUUGUAUAGUCUACUAAUCCAACUACACUCUUGGGAAAAAGAAAUAUAUUUUGCUUUUCUUUGUAACCUCCACAGAAUCCACCAGAAAAGGGAACAAGACCUUCUGCUUACAUAGCCCAAGCUAACAAAGCCAAGCAGCACUUCCCACUGCUCCAAUCUUUGUCUGCACCUGUCUCUCCUAUGGUCACUUAAUUACAGCCACUUGGACUUCUGUUCUGACCCUUAAGCCCUGCUCAAACUCAUUCGCAUCCCAGGGCCUUCACAAUUGUUGCUCUGUCUGCCUGGAACAUCGGCCCCUUGCUCCUCAGAGCUCAGCUCUUUUGAUUCCUUCAACACUAAGCUUAAAUAGUAUUUCCUAAAGAAUCAUCCUCAACCAUUCUCACAUCAGUGGCCCUACCACAGGCUCAUCAUUUCUUUUAUGUCACCUGGCUUUUUUCUCUUGUUUAUUUAUUACUCCCAUGCUCCUCCCCUCAACACACACACACACACACACACACACACUAGAAUGUAUGGUCAGCCAGGAGAGUCCUGGUCUGUCCAUUGUCACUGCUUUACCCCAAGUAAAGUGCCUAGAACAAAGUAGGUGUAUAACAAAUAUUAUCAAUUGAAUAAAUAAAUUAUAAAAUAUUAGGUAAUUCAAGAAUUAUUGCUGGAAUAAAAAAUAAAGAAAGAAAUAAAGUCAUUGUAUCCCAUCUUCAUUCGCUGUUUCAACAUACAUAAAAACAUGUUCUGAAUAAUAAAUUGAUUUAUUGAUAUCUACAUUGAUACCUUAGCAAAACUGAAAAUCACUAGGUGUUGGGACCUUGGGAGAAAUGGACGUUUCUCAAAAAAUGAGUACUAGACAAAAUUCAAUCUAAAACUGCAUUAAAAACAAGUCACAUUGCAUUAAAUUGGAAAGCAAUAUAACACAUUAUUCAAUUAAACCCCAGAACCCACUAACUAAAACCUCAAUGAAUUGAAAAUAUAGUGGGGCUCCACUUUUGUGCAAAGCAUAUGUACAUCUUAGCAGCUGGGCCAUGAUUUGCCAUCCCUUAAGAAGGUUAUGCCCCAUGAUCAAAUCUGUGAACAGACAUUUGUGAAGAUGCAAUUGUGUGCUAGGCCCCGGGCUCAGCAUAAAUGGCACAUACACAGAGAAGAGACAGUGGACAGUCAGGAAAGAAUAGAAUAGUAAGGAAUGGGGAAGAGGUUUGUUGUUGGGGAGACUUCCCAGAGGAGAUAAUGUACAUAUACGUGACGAUCUACUUUGGGAAGGAAAACCACUAGGACAAAGUAAGAACCGGUACUAGCCCAAGGGAACAGCUGCUGCAAGGGAAAACCGAAUGAGGUCAGGCUAUGCUCCUGCCCAACUAGGUUGGCAGCAAUAAGCAAAGAGAACUGAAAAAAAAAGUAAAAGAUAAGAUAUUUAAUAUCACUUAAAAAAUUCACGAGGUCAGGAGAUUGAGACCAUCCUGGCUAACACGGUGAAACCCCAUCUCUACUAAAAAUAGAAAAAACUAGCCAGGCAUGGUGGCACGCGCCUGUAGUCCCAGCUACUCAGGAGGCCGAGGCAGAGAAUCACUUGAACCCAGGAGGCAGAGGCAGCAGUGAGCCGAGAUCACGCCACUGCACUCCAGCCUGGGUGAUAGAGCAAGACUCAGUUUCAAAAAAAAAAAAAAAUCAAGUAUAGUUAUAAGCUAAGAAUGAAAUCCCAGAAGUUUUAAGACUUUUAAAAACAAACAC
rnacentral:lncRNA from 1 species